CUUAUUCCGACAUACAUUGUCACGGUCUUGGCGUGUGGUGGACUUUGUACCUCCUGCUUCAAUACCUAUAAAAAGUUGACGUGCCUUCCAGAAUGCAAUAUUUCAACCGAAUACACGGAAGAGUGUGAUGUUUAUCAAAGCUCCUAACAAGUACACACAGUUGGUGGAUAUUUAAUUUCGGAAAGCAACCAGCAGUAAUUGCUUCAUAAUGGAAGACGUAGACUUUUGGCGACUAGCUACAUUUUUCUUCAUAUUUCUCCUCAUUGGUGUGAUACUGACCUGGCUGUGCUUUUGGACUCAAAAUAAAAACAGGAGGAACAAAUUACUUCUUCGAAAACCCGAAAGUGACAAACUUGAGAUGCCAGAUGUAAUAAUAAUUGCUUGAAGUGACUUCAAAAAAUAGCUUGAGGGUGUGAAGAAAAGGAGGCUGCAGUAGCAGUUAUCAACAUCCAAUUUACAUGUACCAGUGGGGAUAAUUGACUUCGAACUUUAAAAUCACUUUGACAUUAAGACCUGUUAUUUGCCAAAUGCGUGUAUAUUGAAGUACAUGUAUAAAACAAGCUUACAGAAUGUCACAUACAUUUUAAAUGUGAUUUUAAAACUAUUAGUUAGAUGGCGCACUUUAGCAUUUGAAUACAUGAUGAUAAGCAUUUUUUUUUUAAUUUCAACUUCAUCUUUUGAAUAACACUCAUAUUCGAAUAUUGUUGAGCUUGUACAUUAGCUUACCCCUACAGGUGGGGAUUGUGAAAAGUAUAAACCUGCUGUUUCCCACAAGGCUUGCUUGAUAUAGUACCUCACUUGAAUAUUAAUGUUCGCCCAUGUGAGGAAGUCUAAUAGAAUCUAUCACUCCUGUGUGAUGUAGACAGAGAUAUCUCAACCAGAGGGCGAGAUAUUUUUUUAGGUUUAAAGCCGAGUGCUGAACCUAAAAAAUAUCUCAUCCCGAGGGUUGAGAUAUCUCUGUCUACAUCACACAGGAGUGAUUGAUUAUUUUUCUCCCACAUUUUCAUACCGUAAAAAAUACCUUCACUGCGAAGUUGUAUUUUUUGACCCCAAUGCACCGAACUAUCAUCAAUUGAAUUCAUCAACAAUUCUUCCCUUUUCACCAUGUUUUCCUACUUCAACACACUGCCUGUUUUGAACUAUCGGAAUGCUGAGCUUGCCAUGUUUUGUUUACAUGUAUAUAAUACAUGUGUGUACAAUUGAUGAUGAAAUCGGUUUUGCUAAAAGUGCACAGGGUCACAUGUCAUGUUGAAAGAAGUGCUUUGUCUGUGACGUAAUAGCGCGUGUCAGCUGUCUUGAAGACAGGUUUAUCUUUUCCCUACCAAAAACGGGAAUGUACCUGUGAAGUGUGGGAGAAAAUGGGUGCUGUACCCAUGUCGGGAAAUACCAAAGUCCUCAAAUGGAAGUUUUUAUUCCCUGCUUAAUGUUCAGCAAUUAGGAAUGCCAACAACUGGUUCACCCGUGGUCAGUAUAAUGUGACAG